UCCGAGUUGACCCCGGCAGUCUCCUAUGAGUCCCCGCCAUAACGCGCUGGCAACAUAGAACGAGGGUUGCGCUCGUUGCGGGACUUAACCCAACAUCUCACGACACGAGCUGACGACAACCAUGCACCACCUGUACACCGCCCUUGCGGACCCCGUAUUUCUACGGCUUUUCCCGCAUAGUUCAACCCAGGUAAGGUUCUUCGCGUUGCAUCGAAUUGAGCCACAUGCUCCGCCGCUUGUGCGGGCCCCCGUCAAUUCCUUUGAGUUUUAAUCUUGCGACCGUACUCCCCAGGCGGAGAGCUUAAUGCGUUAGCUGCGCCACUGCGGGGUAAACCCCCCAACGGCUAGCUCUCAUAGUUUACGGCGUGGACUAC
rnacentral:misc_RNA from 1 species